UUUGAUGGAAUGAUUUUGAAAGGGAUCUAGUGUUCUCACUUAGUGCCCCAUCUUCCAUCCAGACCUCCCUUACAUCUGCCAGUCACCCUUGUGGUAGUGGUAUUUAGAACAACCACCCUACUGCAUGUAAAGGAACACAUUGAACUUCCAAGAAAGCACAUCGAAGAUAAAGUAUAAGAUCCAAAUUUGUUCCUCUCAAGAGUCAACCACAUUGCUGCGGGUCUGGAUUCAUAUGUAGGUUGACCAGAUGUAAAUUUAACAAUGAAGGUACCACUGCCGACUAAUUCUUCAGUGAACAGGAUGACUAAUGCUGGGCAGAAUUUUCAACGAUUAGUCCUAGCCGAAGAUGCAAGACCUGUGUUGGGCUAGGAAGCUGAAUGGUGAAGGAGCGGACUUUGUCGUAGUCCUUUAACAAAGCCAUGGCAGUAGCAUUCUGCCUCUGGCUCCCCCAACUAAUCAGAGCGGGCAGGCAGUAUGGCACACUGAAUCUGUCAAAGAAAAAAUUUCUAAUUAAAGGGACCUGGCAUGAGUUCCAAUGACUCAACUGGACAUAGAUUCCUGAGUCUGCAACAACCUGGGAAAGCUGAGUCCCGGGUCUCUCUCUUCCCCGGAGAUCUAGCUGCAGGAUCUGUGAGACAGAAGUGAGCUGAUCUUCCCUAAGGACAGGAGGAAGGAGUGGAUGGAAGGGGCUGAGGUAGUCGGCAGCAGAAGUACAAUUCCUCUAGCCUGGAAACAGUGCACCAAGAGGAUUCGGGACCUCACGUGGGUGAGAGAAGUGAGUGACUUUCAGGUGCCAAGCUCAAAACUCUGACUUUCCCAACAUUCUCUUACACAGCUCAAAACAACACUCCAUCAGCACCAUUCAUUUCUCUUUCUCCAGGCACCUCAUAUCCCUAUCCAAACAGCCAAUGCUAACAAGCACUCUCAUCCGAUUAGCCUCUCUUACCCAUGGCUAAUAGUCACCCACAGCAAAUGUUGUCCUCCCCUCCUCCAUACAAGCCAUUUUGAACACUGAACUCUCUGCUUUCACCCCUUACAGGGGAAGCAAGCACACAACAGACCCAGGGUGGUUGGAGAGUGAGGGGAGUGGUUGGGUUUGGCCCUCCAGGUGACAGGCAUCUCAAAGGCUACUGGGGAUCUCACCUCCUUCAAGGUACAUUUCUCUCUGUCCUUUGGAGCAGUUUGUGACUGAGAAGCAGGCAGUUGGUGCUGCUUCUGAUGCUGGGUUCAGUUUUACUCCUCUUGCUUUUUGUCAGAGGUACAAGGUAGAGGUGUAUAAGCUGCACCCAUUCUAUAAUGAAAGCUGGCAGCAGAGAAGUGAAGCUGAAGCUGAAUGAAGUGCAAGACAAGUGAACUGACCUGCAUGAAGUUGGCAAUCAUUUGUCAAGACUGAAAGCACUCUCUGAGUAGGAAUGCGAUGAGCAGCAGCCUCUCCUCUGGCCAUGGCUGCAGCUCUUUAGUUCCAUCCAUCAAAGACUUUCCAGCCUUUCAGUUUCAUUAAGGAAGCAC